GUGCUCUUCAGCAACCGUGGCUGGAGGUGCCAUUUGGAGGUCGGAGGUGGACAGGAGGCUCCAACAGUGUGGUCAUGGCUGGCUGAAGCCAAAAGUUACACUUUGGAAUCCUGUUGCUGGUGUGAAUAAGAUCCAUGUGAUUCUGAUGAUUUUCUCCGAAGGGAGGAGUGAACUGGACACGUGCAUGUGCCUGUGGACCCUGGACUGACAAGCUGAACAAUCCCAAAGCAGAGGUUCUCCAGCCUUGGCAGCAUCCCAGAGUAUCAUCAUGAGAGCAGUUGCUGACCUUCUCUGACAGUGGGGAGCUCAGAGCAGUGUGAAAAGUGUGAGCUGGUUUGGUAAAUGCUGUGAGUUGCAUUCUUUAAAAUCACCUGGUAUUUGUGUCUCUGUGCCAUCGUGAACUAUUUUUUGCAUCCAAAUAAGAAAACUGCUGAUAAACACAGAG
rnacentral:lncRNA from 1 species